CCCAACUGUGAGUGGCAGUUGGGUCUUGUGACUAGCACUUCCUUCCUGCCAGGUGGUCUUGCUUCCUGGUGGUGGAGGAGAGAGGAGCUUGUUCAUCCCAGUCUGGUGUGGUCUGCCGCCUCUUCUUGGUUCAGCCCGAAGAUUCAGACCCAUUCAUCUCUGAAGAGGUCAGUCAAAGUAGAGAGAAUUAUAGCAGCAUAGUAUAUGGCACCUUCAUACCACCAUCCAACACAGUGGAAGUAGAAAGCUUCACUUAUGAAGAUAGAAUUAUCUGGCUUAACUAAUUUCAAAUGGAAGCAGGAAUAAUCAAGGUUUCAGAAGGAAAAGACAAAAGAGGAAAGACAGGUUUUGUUGUCUUUCUGUAUGAGAUGAAAUGGCAAGACUAAUUCACCUUGCCUAGAAAGUCAACUAUGUUUUUUGUUGUGAGUUAUAUUCUGAUUAAACAACUUGGUGAGGGAAUAACUAGCUGGAC
rnacentral:lncRNA from 1 species